ACUCCUACGGGAGGCAGCAGUGGGGAAUUUUGGACAAUGGGCGCAAGCCUGAUCCAGCCAUGCCGCGUGCGGGAAGAAGGCCUUCGGGUUGUAAACCGCUUUUGUCAGGGAAGAAAAGCUCUGGGCUAAUACCUCGGAGUGAUGACGGUACCUGAAGAAUAAGCACCGGCUAACUACGUGCCAGCAGCCGCGGUAAUACGUAGGGUGCGAGCGUUAAUCGGAAUUACUGGGCGUAAAGCGUGCGCAGGCGGUUGUGCAAGACAGAUGUGAAAUCCCCGGGCUUAACCUGGGAACUGCAUUUGUGACUGCACGGCUAGAGUGUGGCAGAGGGGGGAUGGAAUUCCGCGUGUAGCAGUGAAAUGCGUAGAUAUGCGGAGGAACACCGAUGGCGAAGGCAAUCCCCUGGGCCUGCACUGACGCUCAUGCACGAAAGCGUGGGGAGCAAACAGGAUUAGAUACCCUGGUAGGUG
rnacentral:rRNA from 1 species